GCCCGGUUAGCUCAGUCGGUAGAGCGCAAGGCUCUUAACCUUGUGGUCGUGGAUUCGAGCCCCACAUUGGGCG
rnacentral:tRNA from 1 species